AGCGAGUUGUCUAUUUCAUUGAAAGAGGAUAAGUUGAACAGAAGCUAAGUGUAACAGAACAUCUGUGUGUAAAUUAGUGCAAUCUUUCUCCAAACACUGAAAGAACAGAAGUUACAAGCUUAUCUUGACGGAUGUAUUUUACAGCUAUCUUCUAUCUUAUGUCUUCUUUCCACAGAGAGGUGGAAAGGACUUUGUGAAGGAUUUCUACCAGCCUAAUGGGUAAAUAACAAG
rnacentral:lncRNA from 1 species